rnacentral:rRNA from 1 species
CGCCCGCUCAGAAACUCAAAGGAAUUGACGGGGGCCCGCACAAGCGGUGGAGCAUGUGGUUUAAUUCGAUGAUACGCGAGGAACCUUACCUGGGCUCAAAUGUAUGUUUGACGUAUUCUGAAAGGGAUACUUCUUCGGACAAUAUACAAGGUGCUGCAUGGUUGUCGUCAGCUCGUGCCGUGAGGUGUCGGGUUAAGUCCCAUAACGAGCGCAACCCCUAUCAUUAGUUGCCAUCAGGUCAAGCUGGGGACUCUAAUGAAACUGCCUACGCAAGUAGUGAGGAAGGUGGGGAUGACGUCAAAUCAGCACGGCCCUUACGUCCAGGGCUACACACGUGCUACAAUGGCCGAUACAGAGGGCAGCUACCUGGUGACAGGAUGCAAAUCUCCAAAGUCGGUCUCAGUUCGGAUCGGAGUCUGCAACCCGACUCCGUGAAGUUGGAUUCGCUAGUAAUCGCGCAUCAGCCAUGGCGCGGUGAAUACGUUCCCGGGCCUU